UGCGGUCUUAUAGCAAACAACUGAGACGAAAAUGUUCUCAAUUUUGGAGUGAAAACAAAUGCUUAUAUAAUGUAUGUUCGCAGUGGUGUAUGUUGUUAGUGCCAGUGAGAACCCGUUCUAUUGGCAAUCUUCGUUUGAAGUUGGGUAAUUUAACAUGGGUUUCAAUGGAAGAUGACAUCUGUGUAGUGAGACCUUAAUGAAAUAAAAUUACGUUUGUGCUCGUGAGGAAGGUGUGAAAUACAUAAAAAUAAUGCUGAAAGAGUUGCGCGCCCUUCAUUUGAAAAAAAAAAACCCCACCACGAAACGAGUCCGUCAUGAUAAAAACCAACUUUAACUCAAACUCUACUUAAUUUUAGAUGCACUACCUGUUGACUUCAAAUGAUGAAACGCAAGAUCGAGGACAUUCAAGAACAGUGUGAUGAAUGGCUGUCCACAAGAAAUAGAAAAAAGGUGAGACCUGCUGAGAAAUUCCCUAAAAGGAGUCGGCUGGCCCGUGUGAUGUCCAUGAAUUCAUCGUUAUGGCAACUGACUCAGAAUUCCCAGCCACCUUUACAGCUGAAGACCACCACCAAACAAAGUAGUCUGCUCAGUUUCUUCAAGUCAUCAGGUGUGUAACAACCUUUACUUAAAGAUUUAAAGAAAACAGAAUUUGAAACCACGCCACACAAGAGCCUUUCUAGCUCUGCAGAACAGACUGAACUCGAUGAUGUGUUAGAUAAUCCUGUGCAACAUCUCAGUGUUGUAUCGCCUGCAGAUCUAUCAACCCAGUCACCAGCUGAUGGCGACAGUGCUGAGCUGAACGAUUCAAGGGAGACAACUCUUAAAGCCUUACGCGAAAGUGGAUCCAACACCAUCAUAGAUGCAUCAUCGUCAAGUGACACCGACUCAGAAAGACUAACAGUUGCAGAUUCACCCGGAAGUAAAAUAGUGCUAGGCCAAAAUACGAAAUCUGAGGUUUUUGAAGACGACAAAAAAGAAAAUUUUCAUGACAAUUUAGCAUGUAAUUACUCGCCUGUAAUUAAUGAACCAAGGUGUUUUGAUCAUAAUGAAGGUUCCAGCACGAGAAGAUUAGAGACUAAUGUACAAUCACUGAAAAGUUUACAUUGUACAAAUGAUGAAAAUAAUAUUUUACAGAACAGUAAGCCAAGAGAAAAUGAAAAUUGUGAUCAUCUUUGUGAUAGAUUAUGCACAGAAAGUUUGCAGUUUUCAGAUUCUUGUUACGAAACUUUGUCACUGGGAGGCAACAUGUAUUCGAAGCAGUAUAAAACCAGCUUGCACUGUCGUCAUGGUGAUGAUACUCCCUCUUUUGACAGUGAAAAUACCAUUCAGUUUACUGAUACCCAGAGUUGUGAUAUUUCUUUCCAUUCUCCAUUAGAUGAUACGAGCAAUCAGCCAGAUAGCUCAGAUAGUAUAAAUCUGUUGCCAUCCAUAUUACAAUGAGCAAAGGAGAAUGGCAUAAACUGUACUGAUGAUAUUGUAAGUGAGGCAGACUCUAUCAGUUUUUCCUUAACUCAUACAUGCAGUAUGUUUGAUAGUUAAAAUAUUUUCUCAUAAUCUUGAUCAAACUCUGAACUAGAAAAACACAAUAAACUUUACUAAUUGGU
rnacentral:misc_RNA from 1 species